rnacentral:rRNA from 1 species
GGAUGGAAUGACCCUUCGGGGGAAUGAAAUCCUAGAAAGUGGCGAACGGGUGAGUAACGCGUGGGUAACCUGCCCUAUGGAAAGGAAUAGCCUCGGGAAACUGGGAGUAAUGCCUUAUAAUAUACGAGAGUCGCAUGGCUUUUGUAUUAAACGCUCCGGUGCCAUAGGAUGGACCCGCGUCCCAUUAGCUAGUUGGUGAGAUAACAGCCCACCAAGGCAACGAUGGGUAACCGGUCUGAGAGGGCGAACGGUCACACUGGAACUGAGACACGGUCCAGACUCCUACGGGAGGCAGCAGUGGGGAAUAUUGCGCAAUGGGGGCAACCCUGACGCAGCAAUACCGCGUGAGUGAAGAAGGUUUUCGGAUCGUAAAGCUCUGUUAUUGGGGAAGAAAAAAGACGGUACCCAAGAAGAAAGUCCCGGCUAACUACGUGCCAGCAGCCGCGGUAAUACGUAGGGGACAAGCGUUGUCCGGAUUUACUGGGCGUAAAGGGCACGCAGGCGGUUUUUUAAGUCAGAUGUGAAAGGUACCGGCUCAACCGGUGACAUGCAUUUGAAACUGAAAGACUUGAGUAUUGGAGAGGCAAGUGGAAUUCCUAGUGUAGCGGUGAAAUGCGUAGAUAUUAGGAGGAACACCGGUGGCGAAGGCGGCUUG